rnacentral:rRNA from 1 species
GGACUGCUCCGCUGACGACCGGCGCACGGGUGCGGAACGCGUAUGGAACCUACCUCAAUCAGGGGGAUAGCCCAGGGAAACUUGGAUUAAUACCCCAUAGUAUUGUUUUAUUGCAUGAUAGAACAAUUAAAACUUUGGUGGAUUGAGAUGGCCAUGCGUAUCAUUAGCUAGUUGGUAAGGUAACGGCUUACCAAGGCGACGAUGAUUAGGGGCCCUGAGAGGGGGAUCCCCCACACUGGUACUGAGACACGGACCAGACUCCUACGGGAGGCAGCAGUGAGGAAUAUUGGACAAUGGUCGAAAGACUGAUCCAGCCAUGCCGCGUGCAGGAUGACUGCCCUAUGGGUUGUAAACUGCUUUUGUACGAGAAGAACACCCUCUUCGUGAAGAGGACUGACGGUACCGUACGAAUAAGGACCGGCUAACUCCGUGCCAGCAGCCGCGGUAAUACGGAGGGUCCGAGCGUUAUCCGGAAUCAUUGGGUUUAAAGGGUCCGUAGGCGGGCUAUUAAGUCAGAGGUGAAAUUGUGCAGCUCAACUGUAGAACUGCCUUUGAUACUGAUAGUCUUGAGUUAUGGUGAGGUAGCCGGAACAUGUGGUGUAGCGGUGAAAUGCAUAGAUAUCACAUAGAACGCCGAUUGCGAAGGCAGGUUACCAACCAUAUACUGACGCUGAUGGACGAAAGCGUGGGGAGCGAACGGGAUUAGAUACCCCGGUAGUCCACGCCGUAAACGAUGGAUACUAGCUGUUGGGUUUUCGGACUCAGCGGCCAAGCGAAAGUGAUAAGUAUCCCACCUGGGGAGUACGUUCGCAAGAAUGAAACUCAAAGGAAUUGA